CUGAACCACCUGGAGCGCCUUCCGGCCGGCCCCAACGGCGUCCCGAAGCACUCGUACUGGCUGGACCUGUGGCUCUUCAUCCUCCUGGACGUGAUGCUGUUCGUGUUCUUCUAUCUCUUGCCCUGACUGGCUUGCUGUUAUAUCAAGAUGUCUCAA